UCAGGGCAAGGAGACCAUGACUUUGAUGGAGGCUCCAGCAUCCUCGAAGGAACAGAAGCUUGAGCUGGAGAUCAUGAACGUCACCCUGUGGGUCUGUUGGGAGUUAAAUGAGGUGGUGCAGCUAGAUCCGGAACUCAGCGCUCAGGAGAGCUCAGAGGAUGGCCUUCCUGGUUAGCCGGCACUCAUCAGGAUGACAGCUCACUGUGCUGUCACUCUUCCUGGGUGGUUUUUUGAUUUCACAUUUUCAUAACAAUCUCUGAUGAUUUCAUUCGAAGGAGGAAGGUCUCUGGGAGUUUCCUGUGGGCACAAUGGGGUCACCAGGUUUCCCUAGGCAUGUGCCCAAGGAUGCCACCACCAUAUUUGCUUUGGUAUUUAAAAUAAAGGCCACACUGAAUCUCGUGCUUUCGUUGUAACCAAA